rnacentral:lncRNA from 1 species
UUACAAGUAAAUAACUUUGUUGUGGUACUGGGGAUUGAACUCAGGACCUUUGCACUGAGCUGUAUCUCUAGCUCUCUUUUAUGUUUUUAUUUUUAGACAAAGUCUUGGCAAGAAGCUUAAAUUGCCUAGGCUAGGCUUGAAUUAUUUGAUCCUUCUGCCUCAGCCUCGAAGAGUGCUAGGAUUACAGAUGCCUGUCUGAGCUAAGUAAUUUUUCAGCACCAGGGCUUUGGUGCUGUAAGACCAAGGGCCUUACCAAAUGCUCCGAGGAGCUGACUAUAGUGAAGCACACCCACGGAUCCCAGCGGUGCCUCCAGAAUGCAAGGCCAAGGGCCUUACCAAACGCUCCAAGGAGCUGGCUACUGCGAGGACCACCCGGGAAGGAACACACCGGCCAUGUUGGAAAACAGACCUUUAUUAGUCUGGCCAGACGGCACUCCCGAAGCAAAAUAGCUCAGAGAGAAAACAGCAUGAAAGCUGAAGCAGCACUGAAGUAGAAACAGUAAUGGAAAAUCUUCCUCUCUUCAUCAUUUCCAACUGUAGUUGUUGGGGUUUUUUUUUGUCCAUUGUCCAUCAUAAAUAUUGCUCAAAUCCAUCUCCCAUACAUAAUUUCUGCUGUUUUUUUUUUUUUUAGAUCAACAUUUUGUCCUCAGUUAAACUACCACAUCAAUAGACUUCUGUUAUUUUGAUUUCAUUUUUCACAUUCCUGCAGAAAUAUCUUUCUAAGCUGCAAAUAUGGUCUUGUCACUUUCAGGCAGAAACACUGAAAGAGUUGUAAUGUCCUAAGUGUAGCAAGAUCAAGAUCCUUGUUUCCUAGUCCCUCUGGAGGUUGGACUACAUCUGCAUUGAUUUUUCACCACUCCUAGAUGCAUUCUUUUCUUACUCUAUUUCUAGUUUGCGUUAAUGAUUUUCUUUCCAUGUCUAAAACAUUAUUCUUUAUAAAGAAGCUAAGCUUUGAUGUAUUUUCUAAUUCCCUUAGGCAGAGUUCAUUAUUUUUAUAUUUUUAUUCAAAACCAGUUUACUUGAAUACAUUAUUCAUCUUUGUUUUCUAAGUGCCUUAGCAGUUCAUGGGACAAGCACAUAUUUUUUUUUCACUAAAUAAUUUUGUUGUUGGCUUGACCAUACUAUGAAAAUUCAAGACUUUGCUCAGUACUGGAGAUCAUAG